UCGUAAUUAUUACAUUUUAUUGUAAAGACUUAUUUUAAGUUUCCUUGUGAUUUUGUACUACUAGUACUUGAUAUAUUUGAUGUUACACAAUAUAGUUUAGCGCACAGACGUUGAGGUUUUUAAUAAAAACAUUUGUCAUUUUAAUACCCCAUAAGAAUUGCUUUAGAAUACAGUGACAUGUAUCGUCAACUUAAAUGAAUCAAAUCUUUGAUCUUGAUCUUAACUGGUGCAGCGUUUACUCCAGAUUUGAGUUGUUAAAAGUGUGCAGGCGGAUUGUGACUUACCGUGGUUGUCCCUUCAACAAGUUCCUUUCUUAACUAGAAUUCUAUGUGAGAAGAUGUGACAAAGGGAGCAGGUCACACUUGUCACUUCCUCACUUGACACUCGGUUGCAAGAUCAUCCUGCGUGACUUGAAAGCGUGCAUCUUAUAAGGUUUCAACUCCGUGUAUUCGUUCGACAUGUGAGUGAAAGUCAUCCUCAUCAUCGUUUCCUUGUUAAACUCAUUGGACCAACAUUGGGUAAGAAGGUACAAUGAGGAAGACGUUUGUGUGUGACGACUCCAUGAUCAUCAAUAUUCCCAUCAGGAAGGACAGUGAAAGACGCAGCCGCGUGAUUCCGCGAGAGUUCCAAUGUGUGUUCCAAGAUACGUUCAAGGUUUUUGCUUACAAUGGAUUCCCAAAACCUC